AGGGCUUGACAUGCCGCGUACUCUUCUGAAAAGAAAAGGUGCCCCUUAGACGGGAGCGCGGACAC
rnacentral:rRNA from 1 species